ensembl:sense_intronic Gm42938 predicted gene 42938
AUCUAAUGGAUUUUAGCCUGACAGAGUAUCUUAAAGUGUCAUUGCUGUGGAGAAACACCAUGACCAAGGCAACUCUUAUAAGGGACAAUAUUUAAUUAGGGCUGGCUUACAGGUUCAGAGGUUUAGUCCAUUAUCAUCAAGGUGGGAGCAUAGCAGCAUCCAGGCAAGCAUGGUGCAGGAGGUAAACACAAGACUGGCUUCUAGGCAGCUGGGACUAGGGUUUCAAAGCCCAUGCCCACAGUGAUACACUUCCUCCAGCAAGGCCACGCCUGCUCCAACAAGGCCACACCUCCAAAUAGUGCCACUCCCUGGGCCAAGCAUAUCCAAACCACCACACAGAGGGAUUGGGGAGAGCCAUGUUUGGCAUGCUGGGCUGGCUAGAGUCCCUUCAGUCUGUAAAGUGGGAGCCACACUUUCCACACAGUACUUGUUGAGUUUCCGUGAGGAGGCACGGAAGUGCUAGAGUAAUUUGGAUGGUGCCUGGAAUGAUAGGUCCUCAGGUCCUGCUUUUCCUGGGGAAAACCUUAGCUGGGUGAGGCAGGGUAUUCCUCUAGGAAGUGGGUGAAAUCUUGAAAGGAUGUGUUUGGACCUGAGCACAGCCAUGGGAAGGACCCCCCCCUCCCCGCUUCCAGCCCCCAAUCCCCUAGACCCAUGGCAAAGCCUCUUCCUGGUCCCAGGACAGCUACUGACCUUCUGACCUUGUUUACAGAUAAUCUCCCUGCAGUUUCUUCCUCUGGGAUGUUUACAGCCUGAGACUUGCCCUUGCAGACACCCCCUACCGAGAUUAGCUAAUCCUGCCUCCUACUCACUGUAGAAAUCUGUGCACUCAAUUCAGAGUUAAACCUGUGAGUUUGAGUCGCUGUUGGUAUGUCUCCCCACAGAGCGCCAUGCGCAGCCUAUCUCAGCUUUGUUGUAUCUGAAUUUGUCUUUUAUUUGUUCCCUCAUUUCCCUAGUCAGGCUUUCAGGAUGUAGCCGCAGGGCUCACUCCUUUCUGGGCAACACUGAGGAGGCCGGCUAGGCUACUGAGGCAGGCUGAUUUCUGUGAGCUGGAGGCCAGUCUGGUUUAUAUCCUAUCU